ensembl:lncRNA
GAACCCUUCUGUGAGCUCAGGAUAUGGUCUUACUGCUGGAGAAAUGCAGCUGCUUUAUGCAGAGGGUCCUGUCACCAGGAACGUUUUUCGUCAGUGUCAAGAAAGAUAAAGAAGCAGAAACACAAUGCUAAAGAUGUUAUGAUCUCUGCAAGGCAUAGUAUACCCUCAAUUCACGUGUUCACAACUCUCAGUGAGCAAUGAGAUGUCUGUCAUGGAUCAGGGGUAGUCAUAACUCUCUAUGUGAUGGUUGGCGGAGACAUCUAUUUAUCUAAAAGUAUUUAAAGCUCUUCCCCUACAGACAUUUUCACAACCUGGUAUAGGUGUUAGAAUUGAAUUGCUACUGCCUUAUUUUAGCUUUCUGUCUUUGUAAUGACAUUAAAAGCAAUACUUACUUAACAGAAAACUAGAGAAAAGUGAGGGUGAAUCAGACCCAGCACAUUUUUCUGUAACUGGGCUCUUUAAAACAGUGGAGAGCACUUAUAUAAACUUCCUCUAAAACAUUUUCUUCUUAUUUGUUCUCUGUGUUCCCCACAGUAUGUUGAGAAAGGUCAUCAUUAAAAAAAAAAAGUCUUAUCAUUAGCUUUAAUUUGACAAUAAAAAAAAAUAUAUAUAUAAAGCAAUUGCUGAAAAAGAAAAUGACAAAAAAGCAACAUUCCUGGUUAACUUUGAAACAUUUAAAACAAUCAGUUGAAAACCUUUUAAAGCAGCAUCUUCUGGUGAAAUAAAACGUUUUACAAUAGCAAAAUAGCCUGUACUGUUUCCCUUCCCUUCCCAACUGGAAAACCUGGAAAUGUUCUCAGUAAAUUGCAAACAAAUCACUUUGAGAUUCUGGAAAUAUGUUUGUUAUGGGAAAGAAUUCCAUAUUACAUGAUCUGGGCCAGAAGGAGGGGGAAGAAUUGUAACAGCUGGCUCUGUGGGCAUGUGAGCACAUUUGCAUCCAGAAGGCUGCCAGGCAAAACUGACUUCCUUCUUAUAAUUAAAUUACAUUAUAUAUAUUGUUGAAAAGUCAUCUCUAUUGGUCCUAAAAAGUAAUGAAUCGUUUUAAGGGUCAAAAUGCUGUAAUUUUACAAAAUUAUAUGUUUUCCACUUUGUGUUUUGCUGUUACUUAAAA